rnacentral:tRNA from 1 species
AGCUCAGUUGGUAAAGAAUCUGCCUGCAAUGCAGAAGACCCAGGUUCAAUUCCUGG